rnacentral:tRNA from 1 species
GGAGUUGUAGCUCAGUGGUAGAGCACUUGCCUCACUUGCAUGAGGCACUGGGUUUGAUCCUCAAUACCA